UACGGAGGAUGCGAGCGUUAUCCGGAUUUAUUGGGUUUAAAAGGUGCGUAGGCGGGCUGUUAAGUCAGCGGUAAAAGCCCGGGGCUCAACCCCGGCGAGCCGUUGAAACUGGCUGUCUUGAGAUGUCGAGAGGUAUGCGGAAUGCGCAGUGUAGCGGUGAAAUGCUUAGAUAUUGCGCAGAACUCCGAUCGCGAAGGCAGCAUACCGGCGGCGAUCUGACGCUGAGGCACGAAAGCGUGGGUAUCGAACAGG
rnacentral:rRNA from 1 species